CACAACGAAUGCAUCCAAUCUUCCUAAUUAUACCCUAGAACAUGUUUGGGAGUGUUUCUGAGCAUUCGGUUUCGGAACGAAAAAUGAUGCAAAACGGGUGCAUUUCGGCACCCGAAUGCAUAUUGCCGGGUAGCGAAACUCGGGUGGAUUUUUUCGCAACGAACGCAUGCAAUCUUCCUAAUUAUACCCUAGAACAUGUUUGGGAGUAUUUUUGAGCUUUCGGUUCCGGAAGGAAAAAUGAUGCAAAACGGGUGCAUUUCGGCACCCGAAUGCACUUUCUCCGUGUAGCGAAACUCGGGUGGAUUUUUUCGCAACGAACGCAUGCAAUCUUCCUAAUUAUACCCUAGAACAUGUUUGGGAGUGUUUUCGAGCAUUCGGUUCCGGAACGAAAAAUGAUGCAAAACGGGUGCAUUUCGACACCCGAAUGCACUUUUUCCGUGUAGCGAAACUCGGGUGGAUUUUUUCGCAACGAACGCAUGCAAUCUUCCUAAUUAUACCCUAGAACAUGUUUGGGAGUGUUUUUGGGCAUUCGGUUCCGGAACGAAAAAUGAUGCGAAACGGGUGCAUUUCGGCACCCGAAUGCAUAUUGCCGGGUAGCGAAACUCGGGUGGAUUUUUUCGCAACGAACGCAUGCAAUCUUCCUAAUUAUACCCUAGAACAUGUUUGGGAGUGUUUUUGAGCAUUCGGUUCCGGAACGAAAAAUGAUGCAAAACGGGUGCAUUUCGGCACCCGAAUGCAUAUUGCCGGGUAGCGAAACUCGGGUGGAUUUUUUCGCGACGAACGCAUGCUAUCUUCCUAAUUAGACCCUAGAACAUGUUUGGGAGUGUUUUUGAGCAUUCGGUUCCGGAACGAAAAAUGAUGCAAAAUGGGUGCAUUUCGGCACCCGAAUGCCCUUUCUCCGUGUAGUGAAAAUCGGGUGGAUUUUUUCGCAACGAACGCAUGCAAUCUUCCUAAUUAUACCCUAGAACAUGUUUGGGAGUGUUUUUGAGCAUUCGGUUCCGGAACGAAAAAUGAUGCAAAAUGGGUGCAUUUCGGCACCCGAAUGCACUUUUUCCGUGUAGCCAAGAUCAGGUGGAUUUUUUCGCAACGAACGCAUGCAGUCUUCCUAAUUAUACCCUAGAACAUGUUUGGGAGUGUUUUUGAGCAUUCGGUUCCGGAACGAAAAACGAUGCAAAACGGGUGCAUUUCAGCACCCGAAUGCACUUUUUCCGUGUAGCGAAACUCGGGUGGAUUUUUUCGCAACGAACGCAUGCAAUCUUCGUAAUUAUAUCCUAGAACAUGUUUGGGAGUGUUUUUGAGCAUUCGGUUCUGGAACGAAAAAUGAUGCAAAACGGGUGCAUUUCGGCAUCCGAAUGCACUAUUUCCGGGUAGCGAAACUUGGGUGGAUUUUUUCGCAACGAACGCACCCAAUCUACCUCAUUAGACCUUAGAACAUGUUUGGGAUUGUUUUCGAGCAUUCGGUUCCGUCACGAAAAAUGAUGCAAAACGAGUGGAUUUCGGCACCCGAAUGCACUAUUUUCGGGUAGCGAAACUCAGGUGGAUUUUUUCGCAACGAACGCAUCCAAUCUACCUAAUUAGACCCUAGAACAUGUUCAGAAGUGUUUCCGAGCAUUCGGUUCCGUCACGAAAAAUGAUGCAAAAAUAGUGGAUUUCGGCACCCAAAUCCACUAUUUCCAGGUAGCGAAACUCGUGUUAAUUUUCUCGCAACGAACGCAUCCAAUCUACCUCAUUAGACCGUAGAACAUGUUUGGGAGUGUUUUUGAGCAUUCGGUUUCGGCACGAAAAAUGAUGCAAAACGAGUGGAUUUCGGCACCCGAAUGCACUAUUUCCGGGUAGCGAAACUCGGGUGGAUUUUUUCGCAACGAACGCAUGCAAUCUUCCUAAUUAUACCCUAGAGCAUGUUUGGGAGUGUUUUUGAGCAUUCGGUUCCGGCACGAAAAAUGAUGCAAAACGGGUGCAUUUCAGCACCCGAAUGCACUAUUUCGGGGUAGCGAAACUCAGGUGGAUUUUUUCGCAACGAACGCAUGCAAUCUACCUAAUUAUACCCUAGAACAUGUUUGGGAGUGUUUUUGGGCAUUCGGUUCCGGCACGAAAAACGAUGCAAAACGGGAGCAUUUCGGCACCCAAACACACUAUUUCCGGGUAGCGAAACUCGGGUGGAUUUUUUCGCAACGAACGCAUGCAAUCUUCCUAAUUAUACCCUGGAACAUGUUUGGGAGUGUUUUUGAGCAUUCGGUUCCGGAACGAAAAAUGAUGCAAAACGGGUGCAUUUCGGCACCCGAAUGCACUUUCUCCGUGUAGCGAAAAUCGGGUGGAUUUUUUCGCAACGAACGCAUGCAAUCUUCCUAAUUAUACCCUAGAACAUGUUUGGGAGUGUUUUUGAGCAUUCGGUUCUGGAACGAAAAAUGAUGGAAAACGGGUGCAUUUCGGCACCCGAAUGCACUUUUUCCGUGUAGCGAAAAUCGGGUGGAUUUUUUUGCAACGAACGCAUGCAAUCUUCCUAAUUAUACCCUAGAGCAUGUUUGGGAGUGUUUUUGAGCAUUCGGUUCCGGAACGAAAAAUGAUGCAAAACGGGUGCAUUUCGGCACCCGAAUGCAUAUUGCCGGGUAGCGAAACUCGUGUGGAUUUUUUCGCAACGAACGCAUGCAAUCUUCCUAAUUAUACCCUAGAACAUGUUCAGAAGUGUUUCUGAGCAUUCGGUUCCGGCACGAAAAAUGAUGCAAAACGGGUGCAUUUCAGCACCCGAAUGCACUAUUUCGGGGUAGCGAAACUCAGGUGGAUUUUUUCGCAACGAACGCAUGCAAUCUACCUAAUUAUACCCUAGAACAUGUUUGGGAGUGUUUUUGGGCAUUCGGUUCCGGCACGAAAAACGAUGCAAAACGGGAGCAUUUCGGCACCCAAACACACUAUUUCCGGGUAGCGAAACUCGGGUGGAUUUUUUCGCAACGAACGCAUGCAAUCUUCCUAAUUAUACCCUGGAACAUGUUUGGGAGUGUUUUUGAGCAUUCGGUUCCGGAACGAAAAAUGAUGCAAAACGGGUGCAUUUCGGCACCCGAAUGCACUUUCUCCGUGUAGCGAAAAUCGGGUGGAUUUUUUCGCAACGAACGCAUGCAAUCUUCCUAAUUAUACCCUGGAACAUGUUUGGGAGUGUUUUUGAGCAUUCGGUUCCGGAAUGAAAAAUGAUGGAAAACGGGUGCAUUUCGGCACCCGAAUGCACUUUUUUCGUGUAGCGAAAAUCGGGUGGAUUUUUUUGCAACGAACGCAUGCAAUCUUCCUAAUUAUACCCUAGAGCAUGUUUGGGAGUGUUUUUGAGCAUUCGGUUCCGGAACGAAAAAUGAUGCAAAACGGGUGCAUUUCGGCACCCGAAUGCAUAUUGCCGGGUAGCGAAACUCGGGUGGAUUUUUUCGCAACGAACGCAUGCAAUCUUCCUAAUUAUACCCUAGAACAUGUUCAGAAGUGUUUCUGAGCAUUCGGUUCCGGCACGAAAAAUGAUGCAAAACGGGUGCAUUUCAGCACCCGAAUGCACUAUUUCUGGGUAGCGAAACUCGUGUGGAUUUUUUCGCAACGAACGCAUGCAAUCUUCCUAAUUAUACCCUAGAACAUGUUUGGAAAUGUUUUUGAGCAUUCGGUUCCGGCACGAAAAACGAUGCAAAACGGGUGCAAUACGGCACCCGAAUGCUAUAUUUCCGGGUAGCGAAAGUCGGGUGGAUUUUUUCGCAACGAACGCAUGCAAUCUUCCUAAUUAUACCCUAGAACAUGUUUGGGAGUGUUUUUAGGCAUUCGGUCUCGGCACGAAAAAUGAUGCAAAACGGGUGCAUUUCGACAUCCGAAUGCACUAUUUCCGGGUAGCGAAACUCGGGUGGAUUUUUUCGCAAUGAACGCACCCAAUCUACCUCAUUAGACCCUAGAACUUGUUUGGGAUUGUUUUCGAGCAUUCAGUUCCGUCACGAAAAAUGAUGCAAAACGAGUGGAUUUCGGCACCCGAAUGCACUAUUUGCGGGUAGCGAAACUCGGGUGGAUUUUUUCGCAACGAACGCAUGCAAUCUUCCUAAUUAUACCCUAGAACAUGUUUGGGAGUGUUUUUGAGCAUUCGGUUCCGGAACGAAAAAUGAUGCAAAACGGGUGCAUUUCGGCACCCGAAUGCAUAUUGCUGGGUAGCGAAACUCGGGUGGAUUUUUUCGCAACGAACGCAUGCAAUCUUCCUAAUUAUACCCUAGAACAUGUUUGGGAGUGUUUUUGAGCAUUCGGUUCCGGAACGAAAAAUGAUGCAAGACGGGUGCAUUUCGGCACCCGAAUGCAU
rnacentral:lncRNA from 1 species